rnacentral:rRNA from 1 species
AUUGAACGCUGGCGGCAGGCUUAACACAUGCAAGUCGAGCGGGGUGAUGGUGCUUGCACUAUCACUUAGCGGCGGACGGGUGAGUAAUGCUUAGGAAUCUGCCUAUUAGUGGGGGACAACAUCUCGAAAGGGAUGCUAAUACCGCAUACGUCCUACGGGAGGAAGCAGGGGAUCACUUGUGACCUUGCGCUAAUAGAUGAGCCUAAGUCGGAUUAGCUAGUUGGUGGGGUAAAGGCCUACCAAGGCGACGAUCUGUAGCGGGUCUAAGGGGAUGAUCCGCCACACUGGGACUGAGACACGGCCCAGACUCCUACGGGAGGCAGCAGUGGGGAAUAUUGGACAAUGGGGGGAACCCUGAUCCAGCCAUGCCGCGUGUGUGAAGAAGGCCUUAUGGUUGUAAAGCACUUUAAGCGAGGAGGAGGCUCUUUUGGUUAAUACCCAAGAUGAGUGGACGUUACUCGCAGAAUAAGCACCGGCUAACUCUGUGCCAGCCGCCGCGGUAA